GCAGCAUUCCUCUCCCCUCCAAAAGAAGAGAGCGCUGCAUUUUUCGCCCCAAGCAUGGCUUACCGUACAAGAUCUGCGAGUGCGCCUUCCAGCCGUUGCUCCAACGAACCCAGCAUCGAGGAUCAGCUGCAGAUUCAUUAACGAAACCAUCCGAGGAGGCUUGGAAGUGUGUCUACAACGACAUUUAGGAGAUCAUGUGCUUGACUAGCAACCAAGUCAGCCUGUGCCAACCAAAGCAAAGGAAAGCAGUGGAGGACGAGGUUGAGCGCGCGCUCCCUCUCUCUCUCCUGUUGCUUGAUUUCUUCGGUGCCAUGCAAGAGAGCAAGCUCGAGCAUUCAGGAGACAGGAGGUGCAACUGAUUAUCAAAAGGGGAGACGUUGAAGCCAAGAUUCAGUUUCGAACCCUAAAUAUGCUUUGUAAAGAAGAUGCAGAGAGCUGGAGGAGGUUCAAGAAGAUUAACAAUAGGUCUACCUUCAGCUAACCAGGAGAGCUGCAGGGUGGUCAAGCUGUUGGGUGAAGCUAGAGAUAUUGCUGUCUCAAUUCUCGAGUCCUCGUCACAUUUCCUGUCAAAGCAGAUUGCAGCAAAGUUCUAGCAAGUGGUCUUUCAACCACAAGACAUUUCCUAAAGAGAAGAGUUCUAUGUGAAGUGGAUCAGUUACAAGCCUAAAGCCUUGGAGUUGGACAUUGUAUAUCUUCAGUGUAGAUUUGGGACUUUGUUCUAAAAAAAAACUAUCCAAAGCAGAGUUUCCCUUCUCAACACUCUCAGCUUGUAGAUAGAUGUACCAACUCAACCCUUUGGCACCCCCCUUUUAGAUGAUCAGCUGGUCACUGCACAUAUAUGAGAAAUAUUGUACAGAAAAACAGUCACUUGGAAACAGAAACGUAAUUUUGAACUUGUUUUAUGUUAUAAACCAUAUGGUACAAUGACCCAAGUUUGUAGCAUCCAUCAAGAAAAUACUUUAUUAAGAACAAAUGAUGCUCCAAAGGUGCUCAAUACCAGUGACAGUUAUUAAAGUAGCUAGUUGUUAGGGUGCGUUCUUCAAGUUGAUAAUUGCAUGUCUUUAUUAUGACAUGCCCACGUUGCUGAGAUGCAAUAUGUUGCCUCAGCAACAAGCAGCAGAUCCUUGUCCAGUGGAUCUUGCUAACUAUAACUAAAACAAACCAGCUCCUGCACACGAGGUAGAGCGUGUAAGUAGCAUGAGCCAUGAGUUGCGCAGAGUAAAAUACCUACUGCCAUCUGCGACUGCGCAGCAACCAUACAACACGUACUUCACCAAUAAUACUUGGUCUGCGACCACUAAACUAAUCCCAGGAGCAUGCAAUUGUGUCAAGAUCAAGAUUGUCCAGUGGAGUAACUAACCUGUUGAUUCUUGUUGCCGCCAUUAGUUGGAGCAUGGCAAUGUGAUAGAUCACUGGGAGAGUGGGAGAAUAGCUGGCACACUAAAAAGAAUGAUAAACACACGCCGCGUGGUGAAGGAAACAGAUUCCUUAUGCUGCUGCCAGAUCUCAAACCUUGAGAGACAACACUGAGGAGAUGAAAUGGCAGGAUUCUCUUUGUCUACCAUUCAAAAGAUGCUGCCUCAUACCCUCUGUCUAUAAAUAGGGUCUCGCCAGAGACUUGAAUCAUCAACCAAAGAUUUUCGCUUCUCAUUACUUCACCUCAUUUCAAUAUACAUCCAGCCAGAGACUAGAGAUCGACAUGGCUUGCCAUCUUAGGUCGAUAAGCUUGCCGUCUAGGCCUCAGUCCGGCGAAGCCGCAGUGCAGCAAGAGCUGUGUAUUCUAGAUGCAAUCAUCUCCUCGCCAUCAACAUGUAUCGUCACGAUGUGUGACGGUUUGAGGAGGCUUGGAGACAUCUACAACAGCGUUGUGGAGAUGACUCACUUGCCAAGCAACCAAGUCUGCUCUUCCCAGCAAAGGAAGAUGCUGGAUGGAGAAAUCGAAUCUUCCCUCGAGCUGCUGGAUCUCUGCAACACCAUGCAAGAGAUCUUUGUUGAGUUGAAGGCCAUCAUCCAAGAGCUGCAGGUGGCUCUAAGAAAAGGAGAUGGCGCAACCGUUCAAGCCAAGAUCCAGUCCUACAGCCGCUUGGUGAAGAAGGCUAAGCAGUCUUUCAAGAAGUCAAGCAAGAAGGCCACUUCUGACAAGGCAGACUGUGCAGUGGUCAGGCUCCUGACCAAGGCCAGGGAGAUCGCCAUCUCUCUACUUGAGACCACGGUGCAGCUCCUGUCAAAGCAAAUUGAGGUGCCGAAGCAGUCACUUGUCUCAAAGGCGUUUUCCAAGAGAAAAGCAGUUGUCUGCGAGGAGGACCAGUUACAGGCGUUAGAGUGCAGCGUUGGAGAUCUCGAGAGCGGAGCAGGACACCUGUUCAGGAUAUUGGUCCAGAGCAGGGUCUCUCUCCUGAACAUCCUUAGCUCAUAGACACUCCUUGUUGCUCUUGACAUCCUGUGAUUGGCAUCCGCGUUUUUGAGGAUUAGCUAAUCUUGAUGCAGUUUUGUAAUAUGUAUAGAGUACAAAUGUAUAGGGGGGGAAAUCGGAAAGGAAAAAAAAAGACACAGUUUUGAUCCAAUUCAUUUUUGUUGACGUGAUUUUGUGCAUUCAGUAAGGAUUGCUUUGUUUUCGGAUGCUUAAUUUGUGGAUCUUGCCCUGCGUACAAGAAGCAUGCCAGAUCACAGCCACAAUGGUUAAGCUGAAAUAGCAGAAUAAAUUAAUCAUCCAGAUUCCCCCUACCACGUUGGUGCAGUAAACCAAAUUUCAGCCGCCCUAAACCAGCUGAAUCAGCCAAGUUGAAGGCGAGGCAAAGGUGCGUGUCGCCCUUACAGAUCGGGAGGAGCCAAAUGGCAUGGUCCGUACCAGACGGAGUUGUGUGUGUAGGGACCAGGGAGCUUUGGGGGUCAGUGAUAGAAUUCAACUUCCCGUCCCCUGAAUUGGCUCCGCCGCGGCUUUCGAAUUGUAGAGCGCUCCUCGCGGUCCUCCCACCCGUUUCGUCCUCGUCGUCGGGCGUCGGCGACCCCGCCGCCUUCUCCACCUCGAGGCCACGGACUCGGCUACUCAGCGUUGCAUUGGUGGUGGGGUGGCACCGGACUUUAUCCCGCCGCCGCCGGACGGCGACUGUCCAAGGGUCCAACUCGGAACGAAUGUAUUUUCUGAAAAUGAGAUUCCAUCCUUAGUAGAGUGGUAGAGCGAUGAUUUUGAUGGCAACGUGUAAGGUUCAGGAGAUGUUCCUCAUGUCAAAUCAAACAAAAAAUGGAGGUGAAAGAUACCAUGGCAAUAGCAAUGUGGUAUCAGGCUGCCUAUUCCCAAUACCAUCAAAAACAUCUCGGAACAAGGUUCGUGCGUGAUGCGAGAGCAAAGCAUAGGUAGCAUGACCAAAAGUGAACCAACCCCUUGGUCUGCUACGAAAAACACCAUCUGAUUUCAAAGUAGCUCGAUCUAAUUCAAAAAUUUCCCCUAAUUGAGCACGCUGCGCAUAUUUUUUUUUACAGUAGUAGGAUCAGAAUAACUUACUCCAUUAAAUUUGCCACCAUAGAACUCCACCGUUAUGUCUACUUGUUCAACACUAUAUUUGGAUUUUGCUCUUCUAGAAGGAAUGUCCGCUCUCACAAUUCCCUCUUCAUCUACCAAAAUGACCGGAAAUGUUUCAAAAAAAAUAGGCAUACGACGUACAAAAAGCUCGCGUCCUUUAGUCAGCUCGGUUUCUUAACAAGCAAACUCACGAGCUAAACGAGCUAUCACAUUUCAGUAAAACGAAACUAUAUACAUAAUUUACAUAACAAUUGAUGAACAUGUUAUAUGUUAUAUGUAUGUGUGGUUUGUUAACAAGCCGUACAAUCAUGAGGAUUAAAUUAGUGGAAUGGCACAACAUGCUAAACUUGAUAACUGUGGUUACUCUGUCUGUGUCUAGAGAUAAAUUUGUUUGGGAUGAUCAUAAGAAUGGAAUCUUCUAUGUCCAAUCUAUGUACUAUUUUUUGAUGAAUAUUCCCAACAACGAAUGGAGCAAGAAGCUCUGGAAACUUAAGCUCCCCUUGAAAAUAAAAGUUUUUUUUGUGGAAUUUAUAUCGGGGAGCGAUCCUCACUAAAGACAAUUUAGCCAAAAGGCGAUGAAAAGGUAGCUUGACAUGUAGCUUUUGCAAUCGAAAUGAAAGUAUUCACCAUCUCUUUUUGACUGCUAUAUGGCCAAAAGCAUAUGGAGAAUAAUUUACUUUGCCUUAUAAUAGAAAUGGUCGUUAGCAUUAAUCAUAUUAUCGGGUCUUGGGGAACCAAUAGGGGUCCGGGUUACAAAAAAUUACUCUUUGGAAUAGCAGCUUUUAUUUUGGGCUAUUUGGCUCAGUCGAAAUGAGGUGGCUUUUAAUCAUAAACCAAUUCCACUAAUUGUGAAGGUUAUUUUUAGAUGUACUCGCUGGUUCAGAUUAUGGAGACUUCUACAAAAGGAGGAAUCACAACAACAUAUCCUCGAUAUUUGUCAAGCUUUGAAAGUGGUGACGAUGGAAGUCUUCACAAAUCAUGGAUGACACUCAAAUGCAAGAAUUGAGUAUGGCUAGUGUUAGCCAUAGUCUUGUCAUUUUGUUCCUUUGAGUUAGUUUCACUAUUUAUGCAACUGUUUACGAUUGUAAUAAUCGACUUGUAUUGGUUGUACGCAUUAUCAUGCUAAAGUCAGAACUCAUGUUUCCAUUAUAAAAAAAUAUGUAUGUGUGGUGUCUAUGGCGUAUGAGUUAACUCAUGAUUGCUGAACUGUCUAUAUGUUAUGUCUAUGUGAAUAUAAUUGUGGGUUAAACUGAUGAACAUGUGUGUGAAUUGUGAAUUGAUGAGUAAUGAGGUGUCUUAAUUUGGUGUUAUAUUUAUGUUGUCCGUGAAACUAUAAGUAUAAUUACUAUUUUCUAUUGUUAAAUUAGUUUGAAAUUAACUAGAAAUUGAUUAUUAUUAGUAUAUAUUAUUUUUUUCUGUUCGGGCUCGCGAGCUAAAUGAGCCAGUUCGAGCUCGUAAAUAAGCCGAGCGAAGCUGACUAUGUGGUUCGUUAACUUAAUGAGCCAGCUCGAACUCGGGUUAGCAACGUGUGCACAUAUGCUCAAACAGUUAUUGUGCACAUAUGCACAUUUAAAAUCUGAGCCCUCCUCUUCAGAUCCAACGUUGGAUUGGGUUUUAUGUUUUCUCCCUCCCAACUCUCCUCCUUGGCAGCCAAUUUGUUUUACGAAUAACCCCUGCAAGCAGACUUGACCCUGUAAUAAAGGUAAGAGAUGAUCUACUACCUUUUUUAAAUACAAAAUAUAUUGAAAUAUUCCAGCUUCUGCACCAAUAGAUGCAUGUGGCUGUUCAAUUAUUGCAUCUCAAACCAAAACAUAUGAUGUUUAAUAUCUCAAAACAACCAUAUUUCGUAAUCUACUAAAAACCAAUUCAAUUACUAAAACUCUAUCUGUUGUAUGAGAAAAUUUGCAUCAUUGUAAGCGCACGGCAUCCCCACUAGAUUUGUGUCAUGUUUUCCUCUUUUUGCAAAAGGAACAUUGUCUUAUCCGGUGGGUUCCUGAAGACUACCUAUAUAGGAGUAGAAACUAGUGUAUUGUUAAAAAUCACAUCAUUUCGAUAUAGCCAUAUUGCCUAACACAAGGUGCAUGCUCCUUCCCAGAUUUUGUACUUAAGUGUAUCAUCCACCCCAUUCAACCAAUUUCUAAACAUAUGAUGUAUGCUUAAAGAUGGUGAUAUGUUAAAGGAGAUUUGUACCCCUCUCCAAAUGCAUCUAGCAAUAGAACAAUCCAAGAAGAGAUGCUGAACGGAUUCAUUUAAACUACAUCCACAACACUUUAUACUCCAUUUCCAACGUUUUCUCGCUAGAUCAUCUUUAGUUAGAGCAAUGUUCUUGAUCAAAUACCACAUAAAUAUCUUAAUUUUCAAAGGUAAUUUUAGCUUUCAGAUGAGAUGAUUUUGUUGUACAAUAUGUGGAGCGAUAAAAGCUUUAUACAUAUUUCUGUAAGGACUAAAAGAUCGUAUCUCUUUGAGCAGUGGCGGACGCAGAACAAAAUUCUAGGUGGGGCCAACAGUGCAAGAGACAAAUCAUAAAACUAGACCAUAAAUGUAGAUUAAUGAUAAUAACAUGAAUGUUAAAAUGAUAAUAUCUAGUGUUUCCAAAAUGAUAUGGAUACCCAAAAACCUUUUUGGCUACCUAAAGGAGAGCUCGAGAGAAAAAAAUAGGUGGACUCACCGAGGACGAGGCACUAGGGCGGAGCAGUCGUAUCGGCGCGUCGUUCUGGCGAGUCAUCGAAUUUGUCAUGAGAUGACGUUGGUGAGACGACGACAGGUGAGAGGAGCAAGUGCAGGAGGCGAGGUAGCGAUAGAUGAUGGUGACGCCAAGCAAUAACCAUUGUCGUGUUGCGACGGCGCGGUGGAACCCUAAUGAGUUAGCGAGGGACAGGUGACGCCACGGUCCCACCAAUAGCUUGCCCAUCUGCUAGUGUGGACUAGGAGGCAAAAUAUCAAUGUUGUGUGCAGGAUCCUGACGAGUCGACAAGCUGAUGAGUAAUGAGAAGGCAAUGUGCGCUGCAGCGGCGGGUUAGGUCACCGACUUAUUGGUCAGUCAAUGAUCGAAGAAGCGAGUGAGCCAUGAGUGGGCUUGCGCUAGGCAAGAGAAUCAAAUGGCUCAGGUGAAGAGUGGACUGAGCAAUGAAACGCCGAGAGAAAAAUAGAUCAGAACCUAGUUUUCAUUAGAUUUGUCCACGCUAACUAUACAAAAGUUUGUUUAUUUUGGUGUGUACCUAAACCUAGGUAUAAGGGGUUAAAAAAUUGAGGUGGAGCCAUGGCCCACCUUGCCCACCCCGCCACUGUCUUUGAGUGGUAAGUUGGAGGUUGAUAGCUCUUGCUACCACUUGGUGCCAUGCUAUCAAAUUUUAUCCCACCAAGGAUUCCGAAAAGAUACAUUUAAUGGAUGAUCUACUACCUAGCGCUUCCUUUGGUGAUCGAUCGCUUCGAAUGCCGCCUGCCCUAACUCCUUCGAAGUCCUCCUGCUGCUGGAGACAGAUCCCGCAGAACAGUUGCAGCGGCCAUGGAGACCUCUUGUUGUGCCGCGGAUAGGCUACACGUUGAGGCAGCGAUCGUCCUUGGUGGGCAUGUGUAGUGCCGUGAUGGCCCCGGUGUUCCACAGGCCGAGCAGCAAGGAUCACUCAAGGCAUGGAGGAGAUGAAGGGGCACCAGAUCGGUGCGUUCGUGCAAGGCAUGGGAGAGGCACAGGAUCACGACGCCGUUACACAUAUGCAAGGCGUUGAGGAGGCACAGAAGCAAGAAACUGAAACUCGGAAAUUGUAAUUGCAUUCAGUCAUAUCAUCUUCCUCUAACUCAAUUGCAUCCAGUCUGUUUAGAAGUCUUCAUUCACAGUUACAAUUUACAAAGCACUCAAAUAGCAACAUCGUUGUACAAUCUCAAGUUACAAAAUGCCUUUCAGUUUACAGACUUGGGUAUCAUUGUAUAUUUUACAGACUCGAAUGCCCUUCGUAUUGCUGUUUACAUACUUGGAUCUGGAUGACUAAUUUAUUAUGCUAUCUCGGCUUAACCAUUGUGGCUGUGAUCUGGCAUGCUUCUUGUAUGAAGGACAAGAUCCACUAAUAUAACCAAGGAUCUGAAAACAAAGCGAUCCAUACUGAAUGCACAAAACCACGUCAACAAAAAUGAAUUGGAUCAAAACUGUCAUUUUUUUCAUUUCCGAUUUUUUCCUGUACAUUUGUACUCUAUAUACACAUAUUGCAAAGCAGCAUCAAGAUUAGCUAAUCCUCAAAAAACGCGGAUGCCAAUCACAGGAUGUCAAAAGCAACAAGGAGUAUCUAUGAGCUAAGAAUGUUUAGGAGAGAGACCCUGCUCUGGACUAAUAUCCUGAACAGGUGUCCCGCUCCGCUCUCAAGAUCUCCAAUGCUGCACUCUAACGCCUGUAACUGGUCCUCCUCGCAGACAACCGCUUUUCUCUUGGAGAACGCCUUUGAGACAAGUGACUGCUUCGGCACUUCAAUUUGCUUCGACAAGAGCUGCACCGUGGACUCAAGUAGAGAGAUGGCGAUAUCCCUGGCCUUGGUCAGUAGCCUGACCAUUGCACAGUCUGUCUUGUCAGAAACGGCCUUCUUGCUUGACUUCUUGAAAGACUGCUUAGCCUUCUUCACCAAGCGGCUGUAAGACUGGAUCUUGGCCUGGACGGUUGCACCAUCCCCUUUUCUUAGAGCCACUUGCAACUCUUGGAUAAUGGCCUUCAACUCAACGAAGAUCUCCUGCAUGGUGUUGCAGAGAUCCAGCAGCUCGAGAGAAGACUCAGUUUCUCCGUCCAGCAUCUUCCUUUGCUGGGAAGAGCAAACCUGGUUGCUCGGCAAGUGAGUCAUCUCCACAACACUGCUGUAGAUGUCUCCAAGCCUCCUCAAACCGUCACACAUCGUGACGAUACAUGUUGAUGGUGAGGAGAUGAUCGCCUCUAGAAUACACAUCUCUUGCUGCACUGCGGCUUCGCUGGACUGAGGCCUGGACGGCAAGCUUAUGGACCUAAGAUGGCAAGCCAUAUCGACCUGUAGUCUCUGGCUGGAAGUUCUUGUGUGUUUGAAAUGAGGUAGAAGUAAUAUGAGAAGCGAACUUUUUUGCCUGAUGAUUCAAGUCUCUGCCGAGACCCUAUUUAUACACAGAGGGUAUGAGGCAGCAUCUUUUGAAUGGUAGACAAAGAGAAUCCUGCCAUUUCUUCUCCUCAGUGUUGUCUCUCAAGGUCUGAGAUCUGGCAGCAGCAUAAGGAAUCUGUUUCCUCCAUCACGCCGCGUGUGUUCAUCAUUUUUUUUAGAGUUGCCAGCUAUUCUCUCAGUGAUCCAUCACAUUGUCAUGCUUCAACUGUUGGCGACAAUAAUCAACAGGUUAGUUACUCUCCACUGGACAAUCUUGACACAAUUGCAUGCUCCUGUGAUUAGUUUAGUCAUCGCUAACCAAGUUGUUGCGCAGUUGUUGGUGAACUACGUGUUAUACAGUUGUUGCGCAGUUGCAGAUGCCACAUGCCAGUAGGUAUUUUACUCUGCGCAACUCAUGCUACUUACACGCUCUACCUCGUGUGCUGGAGCUGGUUUGCUUUAGUUAUAGUUAGCAAGAUCCAUUGGACAAGGAUCUGCUGCUUGUUGCUAAGGCAACAUACUGCAUCUUAGCAACGUGGGCAUCUCAUAAUAAAGACAUGUAAUUAUCAACUUGAACAGCGCGCCCUAACUACUUUAAUAACUGCCACCAGUAUGGAGCAUCUUUAAUUUGGAGCAUCAUUUUUUUUUUCUUAAUAAAGAAUUUCUGGAUGGAUGCUCCAAGCUUGGGUCAUUGUAUUGUAUCAUAUGAUUUAUAACUGUAAAACAACAAAGAAGUGGUCCGAAAUUGUGUUUCUGUUUUCAAGCGACUGUAUUUCUGUGCAAUACUUCUCAUAUACAGUGAUCAGCUGAUCCUCUACAUGGUGGAUGCUAAUCAUAGGGGCUCGGAGUUGGUACAUCUAUCUACAAGAAGGGAAACUAUGCCUUGGAUCAAUUUUGUGAAUAGUCCUCCCAAGUCUACCCUGAGUACCCUACCCUCUACAAGAACAAUGUUCAGCUCCAAGACUUGUAUUUGAUUCACUUCACACAGAACUCUUCUCUUUAGGAAUGUCUUGCUGCAGUGUGUCUCCCCUUCUGAUAAUCAAUUGCACCACCUGAACUCUUGCAUUGCAUAGCGCUGAAGAGAUCAAGCUGCAGCAGAACAGAGCUAGUCCUCCACUGCUUUCCUAAAUGUUUGCAUGUUGCUCAAAGCAUCAAGCAUUGUUCAGAUGGUUGUGGAGCGAGGGCUGGAAGGCGCCCUCGCAGAUCUUAUAUGGCAAGCGAUGCUUAGAGCGGAAGAUGCAGUGCUCUCUUCUUUGUAGAGGAGGCGAGAGGAAUGAUGCUCUAAUGGCGUCUACUCUCCUUGGCCUUCUCUCUCUAUAUAUAACGAAAGAAGUAGAAGCAAUACACGCUUGAAUCAGCAGACAAGAAGAAUCACGAGUUUGCUGCCCAUCUCUGUGGCAGGUUGUUGUUUUUUUCCCUUGUGGAUAAUUUAUUGAUUCAUUCAUACAUGCUAAUUAAGUAGUGUAUCAGCCUGUCAUGUCUCCAGUUGUUGCCUUGUUAAUUGGAGGCAAACAAGUACACGGUGAUGUUGUCUGAGUUACAUCUAUUAGGUGCACAUUACGGGAUGUGUAACCUCAUUACGGAACGCAUUGCUGUCAUGUUUCAGUUGCAUCUUUGGGUAGCCCGGACGGGCUGAUGUUGGACCAACAUUGCAUUUUGCAACAUGAAUUGGCCAGACAAGAAGACAGGCUGCAAGUACUGUCCGGGGGGGGGGGGGGGGGGGGGGGGGGGGGGGGAGUGCUCGAGUCUGCUAUUUUCCCUCUGUUGCUGCGUUUCCACCAAGGUCCAUUUGGAUUCUUGCUCAAUCACCCAUCCUUGUUUCAUGAGUGAAUGGAUCAGUCACAGAAAAUUAAAACAGCUAUAAUGGCACACACUGACAGUCCGACGUGCAUGUGUAAAUAAAGAAAGUAUUGUAUGUAUAUACAUAUGAACUUCUCUAAAAAUUAAAGCUGCUAUAUACAUUUCAUGUUCUUAAUGUUACACUAUGUGUGGGUCGGCACCACAGUUGGACCACCGGUCCAUUAGGGUUAGGGUUUCCUCUGAGUCUAUAUAUGUAACCUUACUCUAUGUAAUAGAUAUGGAGUUCUAGUUUCCAAUAUGGUAUCAGGUAGCUAGGUUUUCCUUCCUCACAACCCCACAUCAGCCAGCUCUCUCCCACCCCUAGCCGAUAGCACCAAGGCCGCCGACCAACCGCUGCUCCAGGAGGUUAUUCCUUCCCUCUGGGGGAAGUCGCCAGCCUACGCUCCUCCUCUUCAGCCUUGUCAUGCGCUCAUUCUAAUGCUCCGCUUCUCCUCCGCCAUGGAGCUCGUCGACCCUCCCUACCUCGUCGUGCGCCAUGGUCGGCCUCGGCGUGGUCCUGUUUCAGCGCUCCACUGCAAGCUCCUCCAGCACCCCUCCCUGCGCGAGUUGCCGGCGCGCCAGCGUGCCUCCACACGCUGCGAGGUGCCCAGAUGGCCAGAUCCGCGCGACCCUCCCUCCUCUCUGGGCGCGUGCACGGCGGCCGCCCUCGUCCCCGACUCGGCCGCCGCGCCUGCCCCGACUACCCCCCAUCCCUGCUCAGGCACGGCCGCAGCCGUCCGCAUGAACCCCGGCCAUCCACAGUCGUGAAAGUCGCCUAGAGAGGGGUGAAUAGACAAAACCUAAAAAUUAUAAACUUUGAAUACGCACUUCACCCGGGGUUAGGGUUAGAAAUAAAUAAUCUUGAAUUUGGAGUGCAGAAGAUAGUUCCUCUUGCUAUGAAUUGCUCAAUCAAUGCGGAUAACUUUGGGAACAAACUCAAAACACUAUGAGCAAGGGAACUUUAGAGAAAGAGAGGAGAGGUGAGAAACAAAUCAAGUGAUGAAGAUCAACACAAAUGAACACGGUGAUUUGUUUCCCAAAGUUCGGUUCCAAGGAACCUACUCCCCGUUGAGGAGGCUACAAAGGUCGGGUCUAUUCCAACCAUUUCCCUCUCUCAAUCGGUCACUUAGACCGGUCGAGUGCUUCUUCUUAAUCACACGGGUCACUAAGACCCCAUAAGGAUCACCACACAAUUAGGUGUCUCUUGCUAGCUUUACAAAGCACUUAGAAAGAUUAGAGUGAGAAGAAGAAAGAAACCAAGCAACAACUUGCAACAAAACAAACACAAAUCACCCUCUCAAGUCACUAAGCACUUUGAUCACUUGACUUGAUUUUGAAGCUUGGAGAGGAUUUGAUGUUUUGAUUGUGUCUUUGGAGUGUAUUCUUUUGCUCUAGCAUUGAAUGAGGAAGUUGCAAUGCUUGGAUGGCUUGAAUGAAGGUGGUUGGGGUAUUUAUAGCCUCCAACCACUUCCUAGCCGUUGGCUGACUUUGCUGUCGAUGGACAUACCGAACAGUCUGGUGGUGCACCGGACACUGCACUGAUCAUUGUCCGGUGAGUGCCACGUCAGCCGACCGUUGGGGUUUGGAGCUGUUGACCGUUGAAGUCUUCUGUCUUCUUGCGGCACCGGACAGUCCGGUGGCAAAUCGGACAGUCCGGUGCGAUCUGCCAUUGUAGACUGUCUCUGACUUCUGACGGUCAGACUGUUCUGCAGUCGACCGUUGGCAGUUGACCAUUGCUCCGUUGGCUUACCGGACAGUCCGAUGAAUUUUAGUGGAAUGGCUGUGAGAAAACCUGAGAGCGGCCAGUUUGCGGAGGUCUUCAGCCUGGGCACUGAACAGUGUUCGGUGCGCCAUAGGCUACACCAAAUCUUGUAUGUUCCAAACUUUGUAGAAUUACCUCAAGUCAUUUUCUUUGUAUGUUUAUGUUGAACUUUAUGCACCUGAGAAAAACAUUCAUCAGGCAAACUAGUUAGUCCAUAUGAUUUGUGAUGGACGUCAAACACAAAAAUCGAUUAUAGGAAAUGUUGAGGCCAUUUACCUUUCAAGCCGCCUCCCCCCUCUUGGCUGCCCUGCACGUCUCUCCCCUGCGUCGGCAUCUUCAACCGCACAACCCCUCGUCAUCGUGCUGGGCCACCUCCUAACUGCCCGCGCUGACGCCCCGGCAGCGCCUCUCCCUUCGCGCUUCUCCCGUCGGGGUCAACCCCCUUGCCAGGCCCGACGUAGGCCCUGCCCAGCUGGAACCACCUCGUUGCUCUCCCCCUUCAUCGCUGCCUUCGUUUGAUCCGUCGUUGUCGCGACCUUCCUGGCUAGAUCCACCGUCCCUUUGGCCGGAUCACCAUUUCAUGGUUGAAUUCGUCGGUGUCGUGGCCUUCCCGGCUGGAUCCGUCAAUACCCCUUCUAUUCUGCCGUGGGUGCGGCCACGCUAAUCGGCACAAAUGUGUGCACUGUCGCAGACCUCCCUAGCGGCGGCAGGGCUCCUCGAUGACCGGACGACUGAAGAAGCAAGAAGGUCCUCGGCCUCCUGGUGCUUUUUUAUUCUGUCACCCCGCCGACCACUGAUGCUCGAACGUCGACCCCUCCCGAAGAACAGGAUACUGCUGCGUGUCUGCCGACCAUGGCCACCUCGACUUCGGCUACCUUAGCAUCCAGGGGCUAUCGUCUUCUUGGAGUGCACACCGGUCUCUACUCCAGCUGCAACAUUCGCACCACGACGCUGCAAUUGCGGGGGGAUUUCAACCUAGCUCCUACCUUCGGUUUCUACUCCAGUCUCAUUGUGUGCAGUGCCCCCGUUGCGACUGCGGGAUGAUGUUAGACUGUGUGGGUAGGACAACACCACUGUUGGACCACCAACCCAUUAGGGUUAGGGUUUCCCCUAAGUCUAUAUAUGUAACCUUCCUCUAUGCAAUAGAUAUGGAGUUCUAUUUAGAUGAUUAGCAAAUCCAUUUUACAGUAAAAAAGAUCAGGGAAUCCUUUAAACAUGGACCUGGAUCACAUAAAAUGAGAUGGGUAGAUGAGAGAAUAGGCUUUCAAGUUUCAACACCACUCUCUAGACUAACAAUUCUUUUAUUGUUGCACAUAUUUUUUUGUCUACCAUAAUGGUCUUUGAGGAAGCAAUCCUUCGUCCCAAUCUGUUUGGGCAGAAAAUGCAGUUGUGUCACAGCGCAGUAGUGCGUACAUUGUUUUUGUAAGUAGCCUGACCAUAUCUUGUAUUCAGGUAAAUGCAAUGCUAUGCUAAUUAUUCAGCACUAUAAAAAUUGCAGAAACACGUGGGUGGCCAAGCAUAUACGCUGCUACUGCACAAGCUAAUCCACCCUGUAAUGAUGUGAUUAUAUUGGAAUCGAGUGAUUAAAUGCGACUAACUUGGGAACCUGGUGCUGGAGGCGAGCAAGGGCAUCUAGCUGUUCCUUCCUCCACUGACAACUUGUCUGUUCAUCCAUCAUCUCGUGAUCUGGAUCAGAUGCUCAUCUUGCUGCCCUUCAACCGUGCAGGCGAGUUUGCCGCUCAUAUUGCAGACAUAGCAUCCUCCUAAUCAAGCUAAGUUUGUGAUGCUUCUUGGGUUUGGUGGCUUCUGCGGAAGUUCACCAGUUGGGUACACAUGAGAACGAUUCUUGCUGUCUGCUGGGUGCUGGCUCAGCUAUGCAGUUGCUUCCACCUCCUUCGCUUUCGCUAUAUAAAGAGGAAAGACAGAGCCAGGAAGACCACCAUUGCAGCACCUUGCCUUCUCUUCCCCAUUUCAAGAGAAAAAAGAAGCUUCACAACUUCAGCUUCCAUUCAAAGACAUGGCUUGCCACCUUAGGUCCGCGAGUGUGCCUUCCAGCCCUCGUUCCAACAAAGCCAACAUCGAUGAACAGCUGCAGAGCCUGAAGGCAACCAUCUCCUCACCUUCAGUGGCCAUUGAAACCAUGGUUGACGGUCUCAACAAGAUGGUGGGCAUCUACAGCUGCAUUGACGAGCUCACAUCCUUGGCCGGCAACCAACGUCAGCAGAGGAAGGCAGUGGAGGAGGAGCUCGAUCGCUCCCUUGUCCUGCUUGACCUCUGCAACGCCAUGCAAGAGAACUUUGCAGAGCUCAGGGUCAGCGUCCAGGAGAUGCAGCUGGCUCUCAAGAGAGGAGACGACGUGUCUCUUCAGGCCAAGGUUCAGUCUUACGCUCGCUUGGCCAAGAAGGCACAGAAGCAGUUCAAGAAGAUCAGCAGCAAGGCUGCCUCUGACAUUGAAGGAUGCAAGAUAGUCAGGCUGUUGGCUGAAGCAAGGGAGAUUGCUGUGUCGAUGCUCGAAUCGACAUCACAUCUCCUCUCGAAGAAGAUCACGUUGCCCAGCGCUAGCAAGUGGUCUCUUGUGUCCAAGGCAUUUGAGAAGAAGAAAUUCGUGUGCAAGGAGGAGCAAUUGCAGGCGUUGGAGUUGGACAUUGUUGAUCUUGAGAGCGGAGUUGCGACUUUGUUCAGGACGCUGAUCCAGAGCAGAGUCUCUCUUCUGAACACUCUCACUUUGUAGAUAGAUCAUACAACAACUCUAGUGCCUGCGAUUAGCAUCCGUGUUUUAGAGGAUCUGCUGAUCAUCGAAACAAUUUUGAUGUAUAUAUAUGAGAGUGUACAGAAAUAUACUCAACUGGAAAUCGAUGUUUUGGGUCUAUUUUCCUGCUGUCAAUUUUCGCUUUCCAUCUUUCAUCUCGUUCAACAUGGAGGACAGCUAAAUAAAAAAAAACAAUCAAUGAAAUGGGAGUGCUGCAGUUGAAGUUUCUUCAGAAAAAUAAACUAUCAUAAGGUGCUGAUGAUUCGGUCCAUUAUCGGCCUGUUAAUUUUAACGAUAGACAUAAGAUCCUAAUAAAGUGGAUCUUGCUCCUUUAACUGAUAGCAUGCCAACUCUAGCCAUGAGAUUUGCACAUGCAACUAAUAGUUGUUCAGCAUUCGGUAAGGUGCCAACGCAUAAGAAAUUUGGAAGGCAUGUGAUCAUCUUGAAAUUGCAGGAUUCAGAUUCUAAAUGCUUAACGCACAGCAGGCAGGAGAAACAGACCAGCCUGUCAGUGUCAUGAAGUACCAAGAACGCUGAAGUCAACUGUUCCUUCCACUAGCAAUCUAGCAUGUAUCAACCAGCCUAGCCUAGCCAACAGCUGCACAACUUUGCUCUCCAAUCUCACGAUCUGAAUCUUACACUAAACUAUGCACCCGUGCAGAUGGUUUUGCUGCCAGUUAUUGAAACAUCCAAUACAACUCUUUUUAUUACCAUACUGUUUUUUUGGGUGCAAACUGAUUUGGAGAGGUCUAUAAAUAUCCCUUUUAUGCUUGUUCUAACAACUGUUGUGGACUGAAGGUAAACUUGUGUCAGGGUGAAAUAUCAGGCAUUGAUGAGGCAUUAGAAAUCACUAGUUAGAUGUUCGUGCAUUACUACGUUUUUUAUAUAUCAUCUAAAUAGACUCGUAUAAAUGAGAUAGUCAUUUAAAAAAAUGACAUCAAACCUCCACAUUUUGUUUAAUGUUUCCCUAUUUUUGUCUAGAGGACAUAUCUAGUGCACAUGGAAGCUUAGUACAUAUGGUGCAUAUAUUAAAUCAUCACCACUCAUCUUAUAUCUAACGUCUCUAGUUGAUUAUUGCAAUUUAUAAAUAACACAUUCCACCACUACACUCCACCACGUUGGAGGGUGUGAUUAGUAAAAUAUACCAAACAACUACAUACGUUAGAUAUAAGAUGAAUGCUGAUGAUUUAAUAUGUGCACUAAACUUCCAUGUACACCAGAUAUGUUCUCUUUUGUCUAUUACCAUAGCUCGUUUGAAAAGUUACAUUGAUUACAGGAAAACAAUAGGUUAACAUGAAAAAGGCCAAAGCCACAAAAUCAGAAAUAGAAUGGUUCAAUUCAAUUUCUACUCUCUUUCCAUUAGACAAGUUUCGAUUAUGCUUCCCUUUGAACAGCUUGAGCGCUUGUGUUACAGCUGUCAAAACCAAGCUCCACAAGCUGACUUUCGCUUCAAAAUCUCCUCCCUGCUAGAGGAGUUCUAGAGACAAAUAGGAUAAAACCUAAUUCAUUAAGACACAAAUGUGACCAACGUGAAAACGAUAUAUAAAGCUAUCAUUAGCUUCACCUGUGGGGGUUUGCAACUUGAGCUCUUGUGAGUAAAAUGAAUGGUAGUGAAAUUGAAGUUAGUUCACGGUUACCGGUUUUAAAUUAGUUCGCAGUUAUCAGAAGCUUACAAGUGCUUGGAACAUAUAGAAGCAAUAAUAAUAGUGAAAAAAGCAGUAAACUGGAAGAGGGGUUUGCUGCCGCACAAUGGGAGCACCCUCACAUGUCCUCGAUGAUUCCUUAGUAUGUGUUUGAUUUAAGGUCAAAAUAGGAUGAGGUGAGGGCGACACCGUCCCCUCGAUUUUUUUGGAUCACGCCGUCAUCAAAAAUUACUACGGUGUUUACCUCGCCCCCACGUGACUCUUAUCCAAACACUAUAGAAACUGUGGCCACCCCCUUCGAUCCCUCCUUGUACGUCCAACCAAACACACCUAUUAUUCAAAGCAAAUAAAUGUAUGCCAAUUCUAAAUGCCAUAAUUGAAUGAAAAAAUGAAGUUACAGCAUGCAAAGGUGAGUUUGCUUACUCGAGUUGCUUGGCUGAGAGUAGGGCUAGAAAAUAAGCUCGAGGCUCCCGAGCCGGCUCGAGCUCGGAGCGGCUCGGCUCGGAGCGGCUCGCGAGCCUCGAACGAGCCGAGCCGAGCCCCUUCUUUGAGCUCGUUUUUGCAGCGAGCCGAGCCGAGCCGGCUUGUUCCGGCUCGCGAGCCUUGCAAAAAUGAUCAAUUUAUGAAAUAAUAAUGAAUAUUAGAUAAUUUUAUAGAUAAUAGCUCAUUUUUUAGUCUUCGAUGAUGAAUAUAUUACAAGUUAUAAUUUAAUUUACUCAUAAUGUUCAAUGAUGAUUCUAUAUUUCAAAUUUAUAUAAUGUUAAUUCACCAAAUAAUGCAACGAUAAGUACCAGAAUAUGGCUCGCGAGUCAAGGUCGAGCCGAGCCUCUUUCGCCAGCUCGUGGAAUGGACGAGCCGAGCCCAGCUCGUUCAGGCACCAAGCCGCACCGAGCCGAGCUCGGCUCGUUUCUAGCCCUAGCUGAGAGUCACUAACUUAGACAAUUUCUCUUCAUUGUAUGUGUGCGGGGAUGUCUUUCUCUGAAGAUACAGUGGUGAUUGAUUGGUGAAUUCAAUUACAAAUUGAAUUUGUGAAUAUCCGGAUAAAUGCACUAAACUUAAAGAAUAUAUAUCUAAGAGCCUUCUCAAGAACUACAACUAGAAGAAACAGAAACUAUAAAUAGGUGGCCAACAAUAAUUCGCUUAUCUUGUAAGAAGGGCACUGAAACUUCACCAGCUCGGCACCUCCCACUCAUGGAACAUUGUCCUUUAUGUCAAUCAUGCACUGCAUAGGACCAUGAAAAGCAUUAGGCACAACCAUGUCAGAUGCUUGUCAAAAAUAUAGAUAGAUUAUGUCUAGCCAACCAGGCUAAGAUAUAAUAGCUUGAAUACACAAAGAACGAUAUACUCUUUUGCAACAAAUUUACUUAGUGGUAUAGAGACAAGCAUUAAGCAAUGCAAAGACAUGUGUUAUGCAUUUUAGGAUCAUAAGUCACCAAUGCAACGACAUGUAUUAUGUUGGUAGAACAAUAAUAUAAUAUAGUUGUUCAGAGAAAGCACUUGGAAUCAACAAAAUAUAUACAAUCACUAUUUCACAACUCAAUCUCUUGCAUAUGAACACUAGGACACAACAAUCUCCUAAAAAUGUUAAGGACAUGAGGCUCCACGAAGCUGUGAUAAUCACGAAGGAAAUAUAAAACUGAAAUAAGAAUAUAUAGAUAGAUCAAACUGAAAAUAGUGAUAUGUCCAAGUGGUCAUAUGUCCAAGUGACCAGGGGAAAGCAAGAGAUAACCUGUUCAAAAGCCUAACCACAGGCGGCAGCCCGCUGUCACGAUGGCAUCAAAAGUGACAGAAGAGAAACAUGACAGAAUUAGCUCAUGGGAUCAAAUGUACCAUGGACAUCUCUUUAUGAGAAAUGAGAUGGCUUUUGAUACAACAUAUGUCCAUGAGAAAUGUGACAGAAUUAACUUUUGAUCCCAUAAGCACGGAUCUAUAGUUUUUACAGAAGAGAAUUAGCUUUUAAUACAGCAAUUUUAUGUCAUUCCUUACAAAUUUCGAUCUUCUACAGAAGAGAUUUGAAAAAAAAAUUACCUGUGAAUUCAGAUCACCACAGUCGGUAACAUGUCAUUUAGCUAAAACAAAUAGGUAAUAGCAGAGUUUGGAAAACAGAUAGACAGGUUUUGGGUUUGAAAAAUGCACAAAUGAAUCUCAAAUGCAGAAAACUAUUAUAUGUACAUAGCUGUAAGCCAUAAGAUUGGAGGAGCUUAUAGCUGAAUGAUGCAGCAAACAAAUGAUCCAGGACGCAUCCAUCAGUUUUAUCUUAGUUUGUUCUAAUCAGAGGCUUAAUCCUGCUUACAAUGAGGUUAUAUUGGAAUCCACUAAUCUUAAUAUCUACUUCAGCUUGAACUGGUAAUGCUGACUGAGAGAAAAAAAAUGCAUAAGCACAUUAGCUCCAAAAUGAAUUAUAAACUAAAAAAGAUAUUGUAUGUAUUCAAAGGUAAGCCUUAUCUGUGUGUAAGGAAAGUAUUCUCCAAAAAAUGACAAUAGAAGAAGGUAGAUGAAGGGGUCCCUCAAAAUUCUCCAAGGGAAAUCAAAGGAUCUAAAAUAGUAGAGUUUAUGUUGAUUGGAAGACUUCCUUAAGUCGUUUCAACAUAGCCGGUCCCAAGCCCGGUAAAGGAGGAGGGUUGUGUUAGGUCUGGCAAACCAACGUAAAAACCAGCCAAAUCUUAUGGAGAUGAAACCACAAAGAAAAUCGUUGGGGCGUAACCCUCUUAGCGACGCGCCAUAUCGGAACCCGGGUAUGGUGUUAAAUGAGCAAGGGCCGGGCCGUCACCCCUUAAGUGACGCGCCGUCUCUUGAUCUGGAGUCGGUGAUAAAUGAGCAAGGAUCGGGUCGUCGCAUCCUUAGUGGCGCGCUACAUCGACGCCCGGGUGUAGUGGAAAAUGAGCAAGGGUCUUUGCAUCUUCCUCGGCGGGUGCGAAGGGUAAGGAAGUUAGUCGAGCCAACUAGGGUCCGUGUAGGUAGUUGGAACGUAGGUUCCUUAACAGGUAAGUUACGAGAAAUAGUUGACGUUGCGGUGAGGAGACGAGUAAAUAUUUUAUGCGUUCAAGAGACCAAGUGGAAAGGACAGAAGGCGAAGGAAGUGGAAGGUACAGGCUUCAAGUUGUGGUACACGGGGACUGCAACAAACAAGAAUGGAGUAGGCGUCUUGAUCGAUAAGAGCCUUAAAGAUGGAGUAGUAGAUGUUAAGAGGGUAGGAGAUAGAAUCAUCCUAGUCAAGCUAGUCAUUGGGGACUUGGUUCUCAAUGUUAUCAGCGCGUAUGCUCCUCAAGUAGGCCUUAAUGAGAACUCAAAGAGGGAGUUCUGGGAAGGCCUGGAGGACAUGGUUAGUAGUGUGCCAGUUGGCGAGAAGCUCUUCAUAGGAGGAGAUCUCAAUGGCCAUGUGGGUACAUCUAGCACCAGUUUCGAGGGUGUGCAUGGAGGCUUCGGCUUUGGGACUAGGAAUCAAGAAGGAGAGGAAAUCCUGAACUUUGCCCUAGCCUAUGACAUGUUUAUAGCAAACACUUUCUUUAGGAAGAGGACAUCCCACCUGGUGACCUUCAGUAGUGGCCAACACACUAGCCAGAUUGAUUUCGUCCUCUUGAGAAAAGAGGACAGGCAUGCCUGCUUAGAUUGCAAGGUUAUACCUGGAGAGUGUGUGGUAACCCAACAUAAGCUUGUCGUAGCUGACUUCCGUUUUAAGAUUCGUUUACAACGGAAUAAGCAUAACAAGGUCACUAGAACAAAGUGGUGGAAGCUUAAAGGGGAUGUGGCCCAAACUUUCAAGGAGAGAGUUAUCGAGGAGGGCCCUUGGGCAGAAGAGGGAGACUCAAAUAUCAUGUGGAGGAAGAUGGCGAUGUGCAUCCGAAAGAUAGCUUCAGAAGAGUUUGGGCUGAGUCAAGGAAACAGAAGGGAAGUUAAAGACACUUGGUGGUGGAACGAAGAUGUCCAAAAGGCUAUCAAGGAGAAGAAAGAUUGCUACAAACGCUUACAUCAUGACAAGUGUGCAGAAAACAUAGAGAAGUAUAGGAUAGCGAAGAAGUCUGCAAAGCGAGCGGUUAGUAGAGCCCGGGGUCAAGCCUUUGACAACCUUUAUCAACAGUUGGACACAAAGCAGGGAGAAAAGGAUAUCUAUAGGAUGGCCAAGAUUCGUGAAAGGAAGACAAGGGAUGUCAACCAAGUCAAAUGCAUCAAGGAUGAAGCAAACCAACUAUUAGUGAAGAAUGAAGAGAUCAAGAAUAGAUGGAAGGAGUACUUCAACAAAUUGUUCAAUGGAGGGAAUGAGAGUUCUACAAUAGAAUUGGACGAACCAUUCGAUGACAACAACAGGGGUUUUGUGCGAAGGAUACAAGAAUAUGAAGUUAAGGAGGCACUAAAAAGGAUGAAGGUAGGAAAGGCGAUGGGCCCUGAUGGUAUCCCUAUCGAGGUAUGGAGAUGCCUUGGAGACAUAGCGAUAGUAUGGCUGACUAAGCUUUUCAACACCAUCUUUCGGACAAACAGAAUGCCCGACGAGUGGCGGCGGAGUACAUUAGUACCAAUCUUCAAGAACAAAGGAGAUGUUCAAAGUUGUACUAAUUACCGUGGAAUUAAACUCAUGAGCCAUACAAUGAAGCUAUGGGAGAGAGUCAUUGAACACCGCCUGCGAAAGCUGACGAGCGUGACCCAAAAUCAGUUUGGUUUCAUGCCCGGGAGAUCAACUAUGGAGGCCAUUUUCUUACUAAGACAACUUAUGGAGAGAUUCAGAGAACAAAAGAAAGACCUGCAUAUGGUCUUCAUAGACUUGGAGAAGGCUUAUGACAAAGUACCCAGGAGUGUAAUGUGGUGGGCCUUGGAAAAACACAAAGUAGCAACAAAGUACAUUAAUCUUAUUAAAGAUAUGUACACUAAUGUUGUGACAAGUGUCCGAACAAGUGAUGGGGACACCGAUGACUUUCCAAUUAACAUAGGACUACAUCAAGGGUCGGCUUUGAGCCCUUAUCUUUUCGCUUUGGUGAUAGAUGUGGUCACAAGGGACAUACAAGGAGAUAUACCGUGGUGUAUGCUUUUUGCCGAUGAUGUGGUACUUAUUGAGGAGAGUAGGAGUGGUGUUUCGCAAAAGUUGGAAUUGUGGAGGCAGACGCUGGAAGCAAAAGGUUUUAGGCUUAGUAGGUCUAAAACGGAGUAUAUGAAGUGUGAUUUCAGUGCCAUGGGGUAUGAAGAUGGCGAUGUUAGUCUUGAUGGGCAAGUGGUACCCAAGAAAGACACUUUUCGUUACUUAGGAUCAAUGCUUCAGAAGGAUGGAGACAUCGAUGAGGAUGUCAGUCAUAGAAUUAAAGCUGGAUGGUUGAAGUGGCGGCAAGCGGCGGGUGUCUUAUGCGACCCCCGGGUGCCACACAAACUAAAAGGCAAAUUCUACAGGACAGCAAUCCGGCCGGCUAUGUUGUAUGGAGCAGAAUGUUGGCCCACUAAAAGACGACAUGUCCAACAACUGUGUGUGGCAGAGAUGCGUAUGUUGCGCUGGAUAUGUGGCCACACAAGGAGAGACCGAGUCCGGAAUGAUGACAUACGAGAGAGAGUAGGAGUGGCGCCAAUUGAGGAGAAGCUUAUGCAACAUCGUUUGAGAUGGUUUGGACAUAUCCAACGAAGACCUGAAGAGGCACCAGUGCAUAUCGGAAUAAUUAGGCGUCCCGAGAAUGUGAAGAGAGGUAGAGGUCGACCAACCUUGACGUGGACAGAGGCAGUGAAGAGGGACCUGAAGGAGUGGAAUAUUGAUAAAGAGCUCGCCGUGGAUAGGAAGGGGUGGAAGUGUGCAAUUCACGUGCCAGAACCUUGAUUUAUAGUUCCGCUUUUCCUCCUUAAUCGUUUGACCUUUUCUUGUGCCCAUUUAGACCUUGCUGGUUCUUGUGGGUUUUAUCUCUUUUAUGUGUUCCCCCGUUUCGUCGUUUUCGGUUCUCCUUUGCCUUUGUUUCCCCUGUUUUCUUUGGGGGUUGAGCUCUGAGGUUUUCAUACGGGGUUUCAUCUCUAGCCUACCCCAACGUGCUUGGGACAAAAGGCUUUGUUGUUGUUGUUGUUGUUGUUGUUGUUAAUAUAAUGAUAUGUAGCUUUAUGUGGAUUUGAGUAAAAAGAAAAGUUCAGUUAUGCAAAACCUCCGGCGCCAGCAACAGAGGGAUAAUAGCAGAGUGCUUUUAAUAGGGUGGCAAAAGCUUUGCCAUAGAUUUAUUAGAAGAAUAACAUAAAAAGAACAUAGCAGAAUGGAGCACUGUUCUUCUCACAUUCGCUUUCCCUCUUCAUUUCAAGCAUCAGAGCUGGUCAGCUGGACAGUGCUUGCAGACUGUCUUCUUAUCUGGCCAAGCCAUGUCGCGAAAUGCCAAUGUAGGUCCAACAUCAGCCCUGCAGAAAAUGUGCCCAGGCAUGCAUGGAGAUGCUGAAACAUGACAGCAACGUUGCAUAGCAAUGUUAGCUAUCCUGAAAUGUUGAAGCAUCAUGUGCACGAUGUAGAUCUGAUCCAAAAAAUGCAUCUUGUGUACGUGUUUGCCUCCAAUGAUUGAGACAUGACAGGCUUAUACACUAUUUAGAUGCCUGAAUCAAUAAAUUAUCCAAAAGAAAAUAAUCGUCCUGUCGUAGAGAUGGGCAGCAAAGUCACAAGCAACUCAACCGGCAAGAUUCUUCUUGUCUGCUGAUUCACGUGUGUGAUGGUUCUACUUCUUUCAUUAUAUAUAGAGAGACACCAUUAGAACACCAUACCCUUACCUUCUUCUCUAGAAGGAAGAUAGCACUGCAGUUUUUGCUGCAAGAAUGGCUUACCAUCUAAGAUCUCCAAGUGCGCUUUCUAGCCCUUAUAUAUCCAGAGACACCAUUAGAGCACCAUACCCUUCCCUUCUCUAAAAGGAAGACAGCACUGCAGUUUUUGCUCCAAGAGUGGCUUCAAGAUCUGCAAGUGCACUUUCUAGCAGUUGCUCUCGCUCCAAUGAAAUCAGUGUUGAGGACCAGUUGCAGAGCACAAGGAAACUGUAUCUUCAGCCUCUUCAACCAUUGCAACAAUUUACGUGUUUUGGAGAGGUUUGGAAGCAUGUUCAACGGCAUUGAGGAGACUAUGUCCUUGCCUAGCAGCCAAGUCAACCCUCGCCAAUCUAAGAAAAGGAAAGCAGCGGAGGACGAGCACUCUUUUCUGCUACUCGAUCUUUGCAGCGCCAUGCGUGCGAGAGAGCACCUCAGGUAUUAAGGUGGGUGGCCAUGAAAAACAAUUGGUUGUAAAAAGAGGAGAAAACGCAGAAAUUGAAUCCAACAUUCAGUUUCAGUCCUAUAUCCGCUUUGCAAAGAAGAUCCAGAAGCAGUUCAAGAAGAUCAGUGAACAGUCUACUUCAGCCAACCAGGAGAGCUGCAGGAUAGUCAAGCGGGUGAAACUAGAGACACUGAUAGCUCAAAUCGCCAGCCCUACUCACAUAUCAUAUUGAAUUUAAUUGCAGUGCAAAGUUCUAGAGUGGUCUCUCAUCCUCCAUAAGACAUUCCAGGAGAGCAGAGUUCCAUGUGAAGUGGAGCAAUUAGAGGUCUUGGAGAUAGAAAUUGUUGAUCUGGAGGCUUUGUUCACAAAGCUGAUCCAAAGCACAUUUUCCCUUCUCAACACUGUCAGCUUGAAGAUAGUCGUAUCAACUCUGAGCCUGUCACAUCUGAUUUGAGGAUUAGCUGAUCACUCUAUAUAAGAAGAAUUGUACAACAAAACUGUCAUUUUUUUCCAAAUUAGGGUCUCCUUUCCAUCACUGAAUGCAAAAGUCAAUUGAAAAAAAACAUUUUGGAUGUGCGUGCGCGAGUGUGAUACAAUGACCCAAAUAAGCAUUUGUUCAGAUUUUUUUAAAUGCUACUCCAAAGAUGCUUGACAUCAGUGAUUGUUAUUAAAGUAGUUAGGGCGCACUGUCCAAGUUGAUAUUUGCAUGGCUUUAUUAUGAGAUGGCCACGUUGCUCAGAUGCAACAUGUUGCCUCUGCAACAAGCAGCAGAUCCUUGUCCAGUGGAUCUGGCUAUCUACAGCCAAAGCAAGCCAGCUCCAACACACGAAGUGGAGCGUGUAAGUAGCAUGAGCUGUGCAGAAUAAAAUACCUGCUGGCAUUGGCGAUUGUGCAACUACGUAACACGCACUUCACCAGUAAUAUUGGGUUAGAGAUCAAUAAACUAAUCCGUGGAGCAUGCAAUUGCGUCAAGAUUGGCCAGUAGAGUAACUAAUCUGUUGAUUCUUGUUGCCAAUAGUUGGAGCAUCACAAUGUGAUAGAUCACUGGGAGAAUAGCUGGCACACUAAAAAAUUGAUAAACACACGCGUGAUGAAGGAAACAGAUUCCUUAUGCUGCUGCCAGAUCUCAAACCUUGAUAGACAACACUGAGGAGAUCAAGAUGGCAGGAUUCUCUUUGUCUACCCUUCAAAAGAUGCUGACUCAUACCCUCGCUCUAUAAAAUAGGUCUUGGCAAAGGCUUGACUCGUCAAGAAAAAAAUUUCACCAAUAAUACACGGUUAGCAAUCACUAAACUAAUCCGAUGAGCAUGCAAUAGUGCCAAGAAUGCUGAGUAGAAUAACUAACCUGUUGAUUCUUGUUGCCAAUAGUUGGAGCAUGACAAUGUGAUAGAUCACUGGGGCAAUAGCUGGCACAGUAAAAAAUUAAUAAACACACGCGUGAUGGAGGAAACAGAUUCCUUAUGCUGCUGCCAGAUCUAAAAACUUGAUAGACAGCAUUGAGAAGAUGAAAUGGCAGGAUUCCUUUUGUCUACCCAUCAAAAGAUGCUGCCUCAUACCCUCUUCUCUCUAUAAAUAGGUCUCGACAGAGACUUGAUUCAUCAGGCAAAAAAAUCGCUUCUCAUUUCUUCCACCUCAUUUCAAUACCAAAAAAGUUUAAGCCAGAGACUAUACAUCGAUAUGGCUUCCCAUCUUAGGUCGAUAAGCUUGCCGUCUAGGCUUCACUCCAGCGAAGCUGUAGUGCAACAAGAGCUGUGCAUCCUAGAGGCAGUGAUCUCCUCACCUUCCACAUGUAUCGUCACAAUGUGUGAAAGUUUGAGGAGGCUUGGAGACAUCUACAGCAAUGUUGAAGAGAUGACUCACUUGCCAAGCAACCAAGUUUGCUCUUCCCAGCAAAGGAAAAUGUUGGAUGCAGAAAUCGAAUCUUCUCUCGAGCUGCUGGAUCUCUGCAACACCAUGCAAGAGAUCUUUGUUGAGUUGAAGGCCAUUAUCCAAGAUCUGCAAGUGGCUCUAAGAAAAGGAGAUGAUGCCACCGUUCAAGCCAAGAUCCAGUCUUAUAGCCGCUUGGUGAAGAAGGCUAAACAAUCUUUCAAGAAGGCAUGCAAGAAGGUCACUCCUGCCAGCACAGAUUGUGCAAUUAUCAGGCUACUGACCAAGGCUAGGGAGAUCACCAUCUCUCUACUUGAGUCGACGCUGCAGCUCUUGUCGAAGCAAAUCGAAAUGCCUAAGCAGUCGCUUGUCUCGAAGGCAUUUUCCAAGAGAAAAGCAGCUGUUUGCGAGGAGGACCAGUUACAGGUGUUAGAGUCCAGCAUUGGAGAUCUUGAGAGCGGAGCAGGACACCUGUUCAGGAUAUUGGUCCAGAGCAGGGUUUCUCUCCUAAACAUCCUUAGCUCAUAGAUACUCCUUUGUUGCCUUUUGACAUCCUGUGAUUGGCAUCCGUGUUUUUGGGGAUUAGCUGAUCAAUUUUGUAAUAUGUAUAUAGUACAAAUACAUGUACAGGAAAAAAAUCAGAAAGGAAGAAAGGCAUAUAAGUUUGAUCCAUUUCAUGUUUCCCGAUGUGGUCUUCUGCUGCCAGUAUACUUUUUAUUGCGAUCCUUAUUUUGUGGAUCUUGCUCAGCGUACACUAAGCAUUCCAGACCAGAGCCACGAGGGUGGUUAAGCUAUGAUUAGCACAAUAAAUUAAUCAUCCACAUUCCACUUCCAUGUUUGUGUGGUAUACCAAUAUCAAUGAACAUUUAGUUUUUCAGAACGGAUACAAAUUUCUAUUCCGAGUACAGGAACAAUUGCCUCAAGAUGCAGAUCAUUCUGUUAGCAUGUUUAUUACUGUCUAUACAUCACAUUCCCGUGUAUCGGUGUAUGCAUUUCUAUCAAGAAUACACAAGCCAUCCAGCGCCGCAUGCAUUCCAUCGUGCUUCAGUCAGAAUAUAUCUACUCGAUUGAUAAAUUUCUUAAACCCCGAGCCCCGGAGACAAUUAACAACUAAGGCCCUGUUCGGGCCCUGUUCGGUUAGAGGUAGAUUGAGGGGGGUUGGAGGGGAUUCAAUCCCUUUCUAUACAAAUUUAUAUAGAAGGGGAUUGAAUCCCCUCCAAUCCCCCUUAAACCCCUUCAAACCGAAUAAGCCCUAAAUAAUCUCACAUCCGAAUCCAAGCAAAUCCAUUCGAGCUGCCAUAAACCAACUCGAUUGGACAAAGUGAUGAAUGCAAAUGGAAGGUGCGGUUAGCUCUUUGGUCAGGUGCAUGGCGUGGUCCCGUGCAGGAAGCUUUGGGGUGGGAUACAGAUAGGCUACAGGCCACCUUCCCGUGCCCUGACCUGGACUCCGACGCAACGCAUUCCCUCCGUUUCAUCCUCCUGGCCGGCGGCAACCUCGCCUAAUAAUUCGAGAUGGUGGUGGGUUGGGUGGUCCGCACCUUGGCUCAGGCCUUCUCCUCUGGACCGCGGAUCCGACGAAUCAACGAUGGUGGCGAGGUCCAAAUCCUUCCGCCGGAGUCGACCUUAGAGAACCGCCGUCGCCGCCCACUGAACACUGGACCCGAAUUUUUUGCAUUUUGGCACUUUCUCGAAAAAAAAUCACGUUUAGACCCUAAAAAUUUUAAUGUCAUUUUUGGACCCUUUGCUCGGCGCCAUAGCCUAUGGUGCCGAAGUAACACAGCUCGGCGUCAUAGGCUAUGGCGCCGAGGUACGUGCUGCGCUGGCACAACCGGACGCCGUGGCGCCGACGUGGCACCGAGCUCGGCGUCAAGAUCUAUAACGCUGAGCUCGGUUGUAUAACCACAAAGCCUAUCUAGCUUAGUUGGUACAUUGCAAGGCUCUUAAUCUUGUAGUUGUGGGUUCGAGCCUCAUGGUGGGCAUUUAAUAUUUUUUUGUCUUUGUCACUGAUUUAUUUUUUUUGUCUAGAUUUUUUAUCUCGCUGAUUUGUCCGUCCAGAUUUAUUUCUCAUCCAUAUUUUUUUGUUAAGGAUCAUAUAAUUGUUCAUCCCAAAUAAAAUAAACAUGUUUCAUAUCGCUGCUUCUGUCAACUGUACUUAAAAACAACAGUUUUUAGUGUUCUUAUUCACUUGAUUUAUUUCUUUGCUGGCGGUAACGUUGGCUAAUAUAUUUAAAUGCAGGGUACAAGUAUAUUAAUUGAACCUGCUGUUAUAUCACUUCAUAUUAUUUUUUACAAAGCGUUCAUGAUAGAUGGGUACUAAAUCUUUUGUUUUCAGUUUUACAUGUGCCAAUACACUAAUAAAUCAAAUCCCAAUAAGUGAAUCUUCGAUUGCUUAUUUAGGUCCAAAGCAAAGGUCAACUAGCAAACAAUAUAACGAGGAUUUGGUAAAGUUUCAUUUCUCCAAGUGUAUUAUGUGAUGUAUUUAUUAGAAAUGGUAUUUUGUGAGUAUUCAUGAGAGUGUUCUUUAUGCAGGAGUUUAAUACAGGAGAUUGGACGAGAAAAACUAAAAAGAUUGGACGAGUAUUUUUUUCUUACAACACGACACAAAGAGAAAAGUGAAAAUCAGAAAAGAAAAAAAGCAUGAAAAGGUAGCAGAGUAUGCAUGGCGAGGACGAAGAGGCUGGCUCAUCACUCAGCGAGUUCUUCUUUUUGAAAGGAAGGGGCAAAAGACUUGCCGCUCCGAUAUAUAUUAUAUUAGAGAGAAAAGAAAUGGAUAAUACAAAACCAAAGCGACUGGAGGGCAGAGGAAAAGAAAGAAAAAUAAAAAUAAAAAGAGUAGAACAGAAACCCACUAGACCAGACCAACAAGACCUCAGCUACUAGCAAUAUCUGAUGACUGCAAGGGCCACUUGAUUAACGCUUCUAUGCUGACUUUGGAAAAUUCCGUUAUUCCUUUCCAGCCAUAAAUUCCACCAAAAAUGAAUUAGCAGGCCGUCGAAGCGUCUUCUUGACUGACUGUUGCAAAGGCUAUGCAGACCCGUCCACCAAUCAUACAAAGAUGUGUCGCUGAGAAUCCCAUUCGAGAGAGGAAGGUUGGCCCAGGACAACACUUUGUUCCACACCUCUCUACUAAAGGGGCAGUCCUUGCAUAAGUGUAGAAUUGUUUCUGGGGCUGAGUUACAGAGACAACAUAUUGGGUUGCAAGGCCAACCCCUUUUAAGAAGGUUAUCGGCCGUUAUAAUUUUCUUAUGUAGUAAUGUCCAGGCAAAAAAACGGCACCUCGGUUCCACCUUAGCCUUCCAAAUAGGGCAGAGAUUCAUUGUACUGUAAUUAGAUGAGAAUUGGAUGUUGUAAGCACUGCUUGCACUGUACUGCCCAUCUGCCGACCAUCUCCAAGUAAUGGUGUCCUCCAAACCAUUGAGCUCUUGCAUGUUACCUAUGGCUUGCCAAAGAGAGACGAACUCUCUAAGCUCAACCUCCCCCGAGCAUGGGAAGCAUAAUCGUAUCCAAUUGUUGUUAGUGAGUGCUUUGUCAACCGUGAUGUUCUUCCUCUUUGUCUUCCUGAAGAGUGAAGGUGCAAUGCUCUUAGGGGCUUGACCUUGGAUCCAGCUAGAUUUCCAGAACUCAGCUAUCUUUCCAUUGCCAACCGUCACCAUUGUGGAUGCAUUGAAGAGAUCUUCAUCAGUUCUGUCACAAGGAAGCUUCAUGGCAGUCCACGCCCUGUUUUUGCUCUUCCAUCGUAACCAAAGCCAUCUUAGUCUUAACCCCCUCGCAAAACGAUCAAGAUCCAGAAUUCCAAGACCCCCCUUGCUCUUUGGGAGGCAAGUUGUGGGCCAGUUGAUAAGGCAGUGACCCCCGGAGCAAGCCUCUGGAUUGUUCCCUUUCCACAGGAAGUUUCGUCUCAUUUUGUCAAUUGAAUGCAGCAACCAUUUUUGAGGCGGAAAAACCGUUAGAUGGUAGAUUGGCUGUGCGGAUAGCACCGAUUUUACUAGAGUUUCCCUACCAGCCUUGGACAGCAGUUUACCUUUCCAACCAGCCAACUUGUUGUUAAUUUUUUUGAUUAGUGGUUGGAGAUCAGUCCUUUUUACAUUCCUGUAAUGAAGGGGUAGCCCUAGAUACUUUCCAGGUAGGCUAGAGUAAUUUCCGGGGAACACGUCCAUUAGCGUUGGCCAUAAUGAUGCUGGAUAUCGAAUUGGGAAAAUUUCUGUUUUGUCAUAGUUGAUCUUUAGUCCUGAACACCCCUCGAACGUGUUGAGAAUCCCUUUCAGCACCUCCAAGUCUGAUUUGUCAACUCUGACAAAAACACCCGCAUCAUCCGCGUAGAGAGAGCACCGAAGCUUAGCUCCUCUAGGCAAUACCUGUCCAAGCAGUCCAUCCUCAGCGGCCUUCUCAAUCAUCCGAUGCAGCGGGUCCAUCGCUAAAAUGAAUAGGAAGGGAGAUAGAGGGUCCCCUUGUCGAACCCCACGUCUGUGUUUGAUUGCCUUUGAACGUUGCCCAUUUAAAAUUAUUCUUGAGGAGGACGAUCCCAGGAUUUCAGCUACCCAAUUGCGCCAUUUCUGGGAGAACCCACAUGCCCUUAACACAUCCAAGAGAUAUGCCCAAUUCAGGGUGUCGAAAGCUUUAGAGAUGUCAAGCUUGACAAAUAGAGCUGGAUUACCUUUUUUAUGCAGCUUCAUGAUCACCCUCUGCACGUAUAGAAAGUUGUCAUGUAUUGACCGGUUCUGGAUGAAGGCAUUCUGAGCGUUGGAUAUAAUUUCGUUCAUUCUUGGCGCAAGCCUAUUUGCCAUGAUUUUUGUUAUAAUUUUCAUGAAGCUAUUGAUCAGGCUUAUCUGCCUAAACCUAUCAAUUCUGUCAGCAUUUUCCCCCUUGGGUAUGAGGAUGAUGUUUGCUUCGUUGACCUGGUGCAGGCUUUUGGAUCUAUGUUGGAAAAAAUCAUUUAUUGCCAUGGAGAGGUCGUUUUUGAUCAACUCAAAGCAGCAUUUGUAGAACUGUCCAAUGAACCCAUCCGGCCCGGGAGCCUUUUCAGAUUGAAGCCUCAUGAUCACGUCCUUAAUUUCACUAUCAUCAAUCAAGUUGUCCAGCUCAGCUAGCUCAAAAGGAGCAUACCCCAGAUGGUCCCAACAAACAGCACUGCUCCUCCUUCCUGUCAUGCCUAGAAUCUGACCGAAGUGAUGCUGUACCUCGUUCAUUUUGUCUUACUGGCUCGUUAACAGCGUGUCAUCUCGAAUUAGCGAUCUGAUUAAAUUUUUCCUUCUUCUAUUAUUGGCCGCCAAGUGAAAGAACUUAGUGUUAGCAUCGCCUAAUCGCAUCCAAGUAAGUCUGGAAUGUUGUCUUGCUCGUGACCUCUGAGCGGAGGCAAUAUCCAGAAUCUUGAUUUUAAGGGUCCUCCUGAAUUCCAAUUCUUCGGAGGAGAGUUGUCUAAUUUCUUGUGCUUUCUCCAGAAGAGUGAGGAUGAUCUGAAUGAUAGCCAUCCACACUUUGAAGUUGCCAACUGUAUUGCGUCUCCAGGUCAAAAGAGCCUUGGCUGUGCGAGUCAUCUUCACGUGAAGGCGAAGGAUUGCAUCAUCAGUGUUAACUGUAGAAUUCCAUGCUUGAUGGACUACCUCAUUGAACCCCUCAAUCUGUGGCCAGAACGAUUCGAAUCUGAACCCCCGGUAGAAUUUAACCGUAGAGUGGCCUUGCAUUAACAGUGGGCAAUGGUCCGACGUCAUGGAGCACAUGGAGAGUAGAUCAGCUGCGGGGUACAGAUCAUGCCAUUCUGUUGUCGUGAAGAAUCUGUCAAUCCUAGUCAUGGUAGGGUUAGCUUGUUCAUUUGACCAGGUAAAUGCUCUAUCGGUGAGAUCUAGCUCUAAGAGGUGCAGAUCAUCAAUUGUGCUAUUGAACUGCCUCAUCACCCUUCUGUUGAUUGACCCUUUGUUUUUUUCUCUUGCUCUCUUGAUCAUGUUGAAGUCACCUAAAAUUACCCAUUCUGGCCUCACCAUGGUUUGAAUGUUUCUGAGCUCAGAGAGGAAUAUCAUUUUUUUCAUUGUCCGGUUGGGGGCCGUAAACACCCGUGAGAUCCCAAACUUCAUCCACCAAUCUGGAAAUGAUCCGGACAGACAGCGAAUAGGCUGCAGAGCCUGGUAAGAGGACCAAGUCAAAGUAGUCUAAAUCGGUAGCGAUUAGGAUGCCGCCUGAGGCGCCCUGAGAAGGCACAUGAAAAGUUUGAUUUGCAAGCUUAGCACCAACAGUUUCCUUUAAUAAUAUAUUUGACCAGCUCGAGAUCUUUGUCUCUUGAAGGCAAACAAUGGAUGCGCCAGUGGAUAGAAUUGUAUGCCUUACGCUUUCUCUCUUAGCAUGGUCAUUUAACCCCCGCACAUUCCAAGAGAAAAUAGUGCAUUUUGGAUUCAUAAAGUAAUAAAAACCACUCUAAUUGAGACAGAACGAAGCCACCAAUCAAAUCCCAGCCAGGAACCCUGCUGCAGCAAACCAACAGUGAAUAAUAAUUUCGAACAAGGAUUCGUCGAACUAGUACAAAGCCCAGAACCAAAGGACAAUCUGAGAGUACAGGGAUACAAAGGCAUGCCAGGGACCCUAUAGCACUGCCCAGACGCGCUAAAACUAGCAGAAAUUAAAAAGAGAAAAAAGGGUGGGGUGGACCCGGAACCGCGCCAAAAGCGCCUAGCCAUCUGAGGAAACAUUGAUCAGCAAAAGAACCACCAACAAACCCAGUCGCAGCAGCUCAGAACCCCUUAUCCUUCACGGCUUCGAUGGUUGGCAUCACCUUUCGACCCUUCUUUUUAGUCUUCCCUGCCUUCACGUUGUCUUGAUUUAUCAGCUCCAUGAUUGCCUCCAUUUGGUUCUUGGUAAGAGGCCUUGUGAAUAGACUUGCGAUCUGCUCAAAUGAAUCAUCAAAAUCAGUAAAGUCUGAAGAACUAGAGCAGUCUGGAAUUUUAACUGCAGAAUUGUUAAGUUUGGCGCGAAUGAUUUCCUGAGCUUUGGAUAUUGCAUCUCGGUUAGUACCAGUCUUAAAGUUUUUCUUCGCAGCCAACCUAACACUUGAUCUUCUAGUGGUGGGUUGCUUCUGAAAUUUUAAUGUAUGUGAUGAAUUGGUCGUGUUACUUUUCGGCAGAGAUGGGAUCAGUGGUGGUUCUGGUGGCGUUGUUAUUGCUGCGAUGAAGUUGGUCAACUGAGUAUUGUCGGCUAAGCUGUUCCCUGCCCUCAGAGCAGGAGGAGCUCUCAAGGUUUCAUGAUUAUUGCUGUCAACUGGUUGACACAUUGGAUGGUUAUCGCUAACGCCCGACUGAAAAACUGGGCAGGACAAAUUGUGGAUAGUUGGGGCACCCAUUAGGCCGACCCGUUCAGCAGCUGGCAAGUUGUGAUGUACAGCUUGAUUAGCAUUCACGAGUUGGGAGCCUAGCAACUCAACCGAUUGGGCAGCUAUGGACUUGGCUGGAACAGAAUUGUCCAGGGUCAGAACAUUGUCUAAAUUGUCGAGGACAGUAGCUGGCAAGUUGUGAUCUACAGUUUGAUUGUCGUUUACCAGUUGGGGGCGUAAAAACUCAGUCGGUUGGACAGCUGGGGCCUUGGCUGCAAUAGAAUUGUUCAGGGCCAGAACACUGUCUAAGCUAUUUAGAAUUGAGGCGAAAACAUUAUUAAGAUCCACAGAAUUGGUUACCUUGCACUUGGAGGCAUCAGGGUCAUGUGAGGUUUCCUGGUUGACACCGCCAACAGACCCUGGCGUGCUUCCAACACCAGCAGCAAGCUCCAGGCCGCCUACCUGCGGCCAGACAGCAGAAACAACAGGGUCUGCAAAUGAAACAGUUUUGCCCUUUCUCUUGGGCACCCAGCAGCGAGUUGAUGGUGUCAUCCCCAGACCAUGACGACGGAAAGGAGUUGAAUGCCUAUGCUUGUCGUUGGAGCUAUAGCAGUCAUCCAUCCCUCCCCGGCAUCGCGAUGAACGCGCCCAACCGGAAAGACUUCGGUGCCUACGGUUUCCACUGCGUCUGUCACGCUGAAAGUCCCCCUCAUCAUCAUCGUGGCCCCAGUCAUGACGCCCAGUCUCUCUACCUCUGAAAGUUUAUGUACGUUCUCUUUUUUCACCCAUUGAGUCCAGGGCGCCAUAGUUCCAGACAAAUUCUCUUCGCUGCUUGCGAUUAGGAGGGCCCCCCUAGAUCCCCUCCCACGGAGGAAGGAGAGGUCUUCCACCACCUCGAUGUGAUUGCGAAGAGUGUAUACAUGACCAGCUUUCAGAUCGGAAGGUUCAUCAUGAUGAGCACCAGCAAGCGGUAAUGGGGUGCUAACUGGUGGAAGCUCCCUGUCCGGUUCUAAAACCGUUAGCUGGACCUCUUUGGGUAUGUCACAAGGGUCAGAGCACCAUGCCCAUAGAUCGAAGGACCUAGUGCGCUCUCUACGCCUUGUGCCCUCUUGCACAUAGUGAAUUGCACAGCUCUUGCCUAAGGCCUUCGAAGCCACUUCUUCCCCCCAACAGUGAACCGGAAUACCUUCAACCCGGACUUUAACUCUAAACUCCAGGUUCAUUUUCCUAGCAUAGCUGUCCUCUGACCAAUCUUCAAAAUGGAAAGUCCGACCACGAUACGAGACCGAACCCCUAUCAAGUGCCCACAGCUUCGACCUUUGAUCCGAGAAUAUGAUAAAAAAACUACUCAGGAAAGUGCUUGACUAGCUGAUACUGAUCGUGGUGAAGGUUGAACUUCUCCCUUAGCAUGUCUCCUGCAGCUAAUGUGUCAACCUCAUGGCUAUUGCCGUCGAAGGAGCAAACCACAGCCUUGUCAAUCAGCUCGUCUCUAUGGCGACGGAAGGAGCCGGUCGCCGAGACUAUGCAGAAGGCACGCGAUGGUCUUCCUCGAGGGUCUCCAGGGUAGCGAGCCUCCAUUCCUCGGUCUCCCUGAACAACCUGGAGGUAGGAUUUCUUGUGUGUGGGGGGCGGUUGACUGAGUGGAGCCUUACAGCGUUGCUCAUGGUUCCUACAGCGUUGCUCAUGGUUCUUAUGUAGAUCGUCAGUCCAUAGUCGUGCCUCAUGGUAGGUAGGGGUCCUUGAUGGUUGCUCGGCUGGCUUAGGAAUAUAGCUAGCAGCAGUGAAUGUCCCCUGAGAGCUUUUCCAGUUGUAGGACCUCGCUCAAUGUCCGGAUUGAAGGCAAAGCCAGCAGCAUGAAGGAGCCUGGCAGCAAAAAGCUAGAUGUUCUGAUGAGAAACAGUUGUAACAUUUGCCCUUUAGCUUCAAUUUGAAAAGACCAGUGCCCUUCACGUCGAAUUGAUGAUAUUGCCGUGUUCGCUCAGGAGACGUCCAGCUCUUGCGCCACCAGUACCACGGUCUGACCACCGACCAGCCCCCUUCAAUGACAUCCGGCGCAGCAGGGUAUGGCUUCUGUCCAUUCAAACGCGGCGCGGAAUCGAGACCAGCAGCACGCCGAUGUGACCAAACGUUGCCCGAAUUCAAAUCCCCUUCCGCCUUGCAGGAGAGCUAGAAAUCCGGCGAGCGAUCUGCAACCUCUUUGGCCUUUCCAGUCGCCAGGAUACGCGACAUUGAAGUCUGCUGAAGAGGAUCACCAAGUACUGCCUGCACUGGACGCGAAUCUGCUUUGGAUUUUGAUCUUGGAUCCACCCGGGUCGUUGAAACAGAGCCAUCGCCAGCCGCGACGGACCAUUGAAGCUUCGAUUGAGAAAUUGGGUCGCCCUUGCCUUGGGAAUCUUGAGUUUGCUUGCAGAAAUCAUCUCUGAUCUGAGCCUGAGAAUGAGGGAGUUCCUUCAUCGUACUUACCGGGUCACCGAGUGGGGAAUCCGUCGCGCGCGGGGCCGAUCCGCGCCCGCCGAGAAGGGAGGCGCGAGCCCAGCCCGCGGCGGACGGAGGAUCCCCCGGCGUCUGGAAAGGAGGGCCAAGGGAAGCGGCGGCGCCAUUCGCCAUCCUGAUCUCCGUUCCACCCCCCCGCUCAGAGCUCACCUAAAGGUGUCGCCUAAAAAUGAAAAGUAUUGCGAGUUCUUUUUUUAGAGGGGGGAAAAAGCAUCGUCGAUCCCUCUCAGUCAUGAGUGACGAUCUAGAGAGACCCGUAAUUCCGCGUUCGUCCGUGUGCAUGAGUGGUUGCCUGCCUUUUGUGGCAAAUGGGGAUCGGCCAAGCGGGGAUAGAAAAGAUGCCUGCCUGCGAUCAUUGGUGUGCGUGGUGUAGAAAGAGACAAAUCUGUAACAAAAACAAAAACAAAAAA
rnacentral:lncRNA from 1 species